GACGUAGGGGGGCGAGCGUUGUCCGGAUUCAUUGGGCGUAAAGAGCACGCAGGCGGUUUGGCAAGUCGGAUGUGAAAACCCGGAGCUCAACUCCGGACCUGCAUCCGAAACUGCCCGACUAGAGGUAGGUAGGGGGAGAUCGGAAUUCCUGGUGUAGCGGUGAAAUGCGCAGAUAAUCGAGGAGGAACACCGGUGGCGAAGGGCGGGAAUCUCCGUGGGGCCUUA
rnacentral:rRNA from 1 species